rnacentral:lncRNA from 1 species
UGGAACGCAGGUUGAUGCUAGAGUCUACUGGUGAAUAGUUAACCAAAUGUCAACCGUUGACCUUAUAUUGACCGUUGACAAGUUGAUGGGUGUUCUGACUCGAACCUAGCGAGGUGCUUGGUGCGGACCGGGCAAUAGAGCUCAGACCAUGUGGUUUGAACCGGUUUGGGCUAGGCAGGUGUGGGCGGCCUAGUUCGACUGGACCGGACCGGUUUGGUCCAGCGGUCAGAAUAACACGAAUUAGGGUUUUCUAGACACUAAAUCAUGAGCGGAAAGGGGGGUGGCACGAACAGAUCGUGCGGGCGGAGGAAGGCGAAGGCGGCGGCAGCGGCGGUGGCAGCGGCAGCGGCAGUAUAUGAUGAUGGUGGAGGAUGGCGGAAGAUGGCAGCGGACGGCGGGGAAAUAAGGUGGAGAUGGUGACGACAGCGGCGGACGGCGACAACGGACGAUCGCGGAUGGCGACAACGGACGAUGGCGGAUGGCGACGACGGACGGUGGCGGACGGCGACGGCAGACGGUGGCGAACGAGUGGCAGAUGCAGGCGGCGGUGGCGGUAGAUGGCGGCGGUGGUGAUGGAUAAUUGACCGUCGCAACCUCUCCUUGCGGAGUGAGGUAAUUCUUC